UGGCGAACGGGCGAGUAACACGUGGGCAACCUGCCCAAAAGAGGGGGAUAACACUUGGAAACAGGUGCUAAUACCGCAUAACCAUAGUUACCGCAUGGUAACUAUGUAAAAGGUGGCUAUGCUACCGCUUUUGGAUGGGCCCGCGGCGCAUUAGCUAGUUGGUGGGGUAAAGGCUUACCAAGGCAAUGAUGCGUAGCCGAACUGAGAGGUUGAUCGGCCACAUUGGGACUGAGACACGGCCCAAACUCCUACGGAAGGCAGCAG
rnacentral:rRNA from 1 species